rnacentral:rRNA from 1 species
UACGGAGGGGGCUAGCGUUGUUCGGAAUUACUGGGCGUAAAGCGCACGUAGGCGGCUUUGCAAGUUAGAGGUGAAAGCCCGGGGCUCAACCCCGGAACUGCCUUUGAUACUGGGUAUCUCGAGUCCGAGAGAGGUGAGUGGAAUUCCGAGUGUAGAGGUGAAAUUCGUAGAUAUUCGGAGGAACACCAGUGGCGAAGGCGGCUCACUGGCUCGGUACUGACGCUGAGGUGCGAAAGCGUGGGGAGCAAACAGGG